UUGAACGCUGGCGGCAUGCUUUACACAUGCCAGUCGCACGGCAGCGCGGGCUUCGGCCUGGCGGCGAGUGGCGAACGGGUGAGUAAUACAUCGGAACGUGCCCAGUAGUGGGGGAUAGCUCGGCGAAAGCCGGAUUAAUACCGCAUACGACCUGAGGGUGAAAGCGGGGGAUCUUCGGACCUCGCGCUAUUGGAGCGGCCGAUGGCAGAUUAGCUAGUUGGUGGGGUAAAGGCCUACCAAGGCGACGAUCUGUAGCUGGUCUGAGAGGACGACCAGCCACACUGGGACUGAGACACGGCCCAGACUCCUACGGGAGGCAGCAGUGGGGAAUUUUGGACAAUGGGCGAAAGCCUGAUCCAGCAAUGCCGCGUGUGUGAUGAAGGCCUUCGGGUUGUAAAGCACUUUUGGCGGGAACGAAAAGGACUGUGCCAAUACCACGGUUCGAUGACGGUACCCGCAGAAUAAGCACCGGCUAACUACGUG
rnacentral:rRNA from 1 species